GAACGCUCGUAGCAAUACAGGAGUGGCAGACGGGUGAGUAACGCGUGGGAACCUUCCCAGUGGUACGGAAUAGCUCAGGGAAACUUGAGGUAAUACCGUAUAAGCCCUUAGGGGGAAAGAUUUAUCGCCAUUGGAUGGGCCCGCGUCGGAUUAGCUAGUUGGUGAGGUAAUGGCUCACCAAGGCGACGAUCCGUAGCUGGUCUGAGAGGAUGAUCAGCCACACUGGGACUGAGACACGGCCCAGACUCCUACGGGAGGCAGCAGUGGGGAAUACUGGACAAUGGGCGCAAGCCUGAUCCAGCCACGCCGCGUGGGUGAUGAAGGCCCUAGGGUUGUAAAGCCCUUUCGGCGGGGAAGAUAAUGACGGUACCCGCAGAAGAAGCCCCGGCUAACUUCGUG
rnacentral:rRNA from 1 species